rnacentral:rRNA from 1 species
CCUACGGGUGGCAGCAGUGGGGAAUAUUGCGCAAUGGGCGAAAGCCUGACGCAGCGACGCCGCGUGAGGGAUGAAGGUCUUCGGAUCGUAAACCACUGUCAGCAGGGAAGAACGGUCACUGUGCUAAUCAGCAGUGAAUUGACGGUACCUGCAAAGGAAGCACCGGCUAACUCCGUGCCAGCAGCCGCGGUAAUACGGAGGGUGCGAGCGUUAAUCGGAAUUACUGGGCGUAAAGCGCUCGUAGGCGGUAUGUCAAGUCAAGGGUGAAAUCCCCGCGCUCAACGUGGGAACUGCCUUUGAAACUGGCAAGCUGGAGUGUGUGAGAGGAUAGUGGAAGUCCAGGUGUAGGAGGGAAAUCCGUAGAUAUCUGGAGGAACAUCAGUGGCGAAGGCGACUAUCUGGCACAUAACUGACUCUGAGGAGCGAAAGCGUGGGUAGCAAACAGGAUUAGAUACCCCAGUAGUC